CCUACGGGGGGCAGCAGUGAGGAAUAUUGGUCAAUGGGCGCAAGCCUGAACCAGCCAAGUCGCGUGAGGGAUGACGGUCCUAUGGAUUGUAAACCUCUUUUGUCGGGGAGCAAGGCCCGCCACGUGUGGCGGGAAGGAGAGUACCCGAAGAAAAAGCACCGGCUAACCCCGUGCCAGCAGCCGCGGUAAUACGGAGGAUGCGAGCGUUAUCCGGAUUGAUUGGGUUAAAAGGGUGCGUAGGCGGAAGGUUAAGUCAGCGGUAAAAUGUCGGGGCUAAACACUGGCCUGCCGUUGAAACUGGUCUUCUUGAGUGAGCGAGACGUAUGCGGAAUGCGUGGUGUAGCGGUGAAAUGCAUAGAUAGCACGCAGAACUCCGAUUGCGAAGGCAGCAUACCGGCGCUCAACUGACGCUGAGGCACGAAAGCGUGGGGAUCGAACAGGAUUAGAUACCCUGGUAGUC
rnacentral:rRNA from 1 species